rnacentral:rRNA from 1 species
GACGAACGCUGGCGGCGUGGAUUAGGCAUGCAAGUCGGACGGUAGGGCUUUAUCGUAAGAUAGAGUUUGAGAGUGGCGAACGGGUGAGUAACACGUAGGAAUCUACCCUUAAGACGGGGACAACCCAGGGAAACUUGGGCUAAUACCGGAUGAGAGUGCGAGAGAUUGCAUUUAAAAGGAUGGCGAAAGUUGUCGCUUAGGGAUGAGCCUGCGGUCUAUUAGUUAGUUGGUGAGGUAAGAGCUCACCAAGGCGAUGAUAGAUAGGCGGCCUUAACGGGUGAUCCCCCACACUGGUACUGAGACACGGACCAGACUCCUACGGGAGGCAGCAGUGAGGAAUAUUGGUCAAUGGGCGGAAGCCUGAACCAGCCAUCCCGCGUGCAGGAAGACGGCCCUAUGGGUUGUAAACUGCUUUUCCAGGGGGAGAAACUUUCCGAUGCAUCGGGAUUUGACGGUACCCUGGGAAUAAGCAUCGGCUAACUCCGUG